ensembl:lncRNA
GUGUGUAUAUUGUGUAGUGUGUAUAUUGUGUAGUGUGUAUACUGUAGUGUGUAUAUUGUGUAGUGUGUAUACUGUAGUGUGUAUAUUGUGUAGUGUGUAUACUGUAGUGUGUAUAUUGUGUAGUGUGUAUUUUACUGUAGUGUGUAUAUUGUGUAGUGUGUAUAUUGUGUAGUGUGUAUUUUGUAGUGUUGUGUAUAUUGUGUAGUGUGUAUUUUACUGUAGUGCAUUCGGAAAGUAUUCAGACCGCUUGACUUUUUCCAUCAUUUCUUCUGUUACAGCCUAACUAUAAAAUGGAUAAGAGUAUGAGUAAGUAAGAGUAUGGGUAAGACAGUUUUAGUGUGUGUAGACAGUUUUAGUGUAUAUAGACAGUUUUAGUGUUUAUAGACAGUGUUACAGUUUUAGUGUGUAUAGACAGUUUCUUCACUCACUCACUCACUCACUCACUCACUCACUCACUCACUCACUCACUCACUCACUCACUCACACACCUUUCCUGCUCCUCACAGGUCUUUAUUUUACACUACUGGGGAACCUAGAGGCCAGAGUUUGCGGCCUGGGCUUCAUUGCCAAUGAGAGUCAACAAUGUGAUGAUAUAGAUGAGUGUAAAGAGUGGGACAGUACCCCACCCUGUGGAAGUAAAGCCACGUGUUACAAUACAUAUGGAAGCUUCUACUGUCACUGUCUACCUGGGUUCAGAUCCACAACGACUUUCAAGUUUACUCCUCUCACUGGGGAGUGUAAUGGUGAGUAUUCAAAUGUCUGAGUGUGUGAAUGUUACAAGUCAAGGGAAAAAUAAACAUUACUUUUUCAAUAUCUUCUCUGUUCUGUGGCAUAUUUAGAGUUUGUUGAUCAGUGAUUCCCCAACCUCUCCUCUUGUACCCCCAGAAUGUCCUCUUCUUUGAUGUAUUCCAGAACUAGCAUAGCUGACCCAAAUGGUCACCUAAUCAUCAACCCUCUAAUUUGUUAAAUCAGCUGCAUUAGUUCUGGAAUAUAUCAAAUACGUGGACUGUUAGGGAAUCACUGGAGGAGAGGUUAGGGAGUCACUGGAGGAGGGUUAAGGAAUCACUGGAAGAGAGCAAAGGGAAUCACUGGAGGAGAGCAAAGGGAAUCACUGGAGGAGAGGUUAGGGAAUCACUGGAGGAGAGGUUAGGGAAUCACUGGAGGAGAGGUUAGGGAAUCACUGGAGGAGAGGUUAGGGAGUCACUGGAGGAGAGGUUAGGGAGUCACUGGAGGAGAGGUUAGGGAGUCACUGGAGGAGAGGUUAGGGAAUCACUGGAGGAGAGGUUAGGGAAUCACUGGAGGAGAGGUUAGGGAGUCACUGGAGGAGAGAUUAAGGAAUCACUGGAGGAGAGGAUAGUGAAUUACUGGAGGAGAGGUUAGGGAGUCACUGGAGGAGAGGUUAGGGAAUCACUGGAGGAGGGGUUAGGGGGUCACUGGAGGAGAGAUUAAGGAAUCACAGGAGGAGGGGUUAGGGAAUCACUGCUCUAUCACCAUGUUUCCAUCUCUCUACAGACCUCGAUGAGUGCAAGGGAAGACUACGGGUUUGUCCCAGCAACGCCAUUUGCCUCAACACCAUUGGGAGCUACCACUGCCUGUGCCAACCUGGGUUCAGAUUCUCUAAUCACACUGUGAAGAACUGAUGGAAAUUCCAAUAUCAAGUUUUCUGAUGAAUUUACCAAUGAUUUUGUCACGUCUGCUGCUGCUCCCCCUCUCUGACGCUCGAGGUUGCCUGGCGGCUCAUCAUUACUCACACCUCUCACCAUCGUUACGCGCCCCAGUGCUUCAUCGGACUCACCUGGACUCCAUCACGUCAUUGAUUAUCUACCCUAUAUCUGUCACCCCCUCCAGUUAAUUUUCCGCGUCUGCAUUGAUGUUGUUUUGUUUCUCCUGUCCUGUUAUUUACCAUGAUGCCCUAGGAACAGUGGGUUAACUGCCUUGUUCAGGGGCAGAACAACAUGUAUAUUUAUCUUUCAGCUCCAGGUAUUCGAACUAGCAACCAUUUGGUUAUUGUCCAAAUGCUCUAACCACUAGGCUACUACCGCCCCUUAGGAUACCUAUCUCCCUGCUGUUAACCUCUCUUGGGUAGGGGGCAGUAUUUUCACCUCCUGAUGUAAAGCAUGCCCAGAGUAAAUUGCCUGUUACUCAGGCCCAGAAUUUAGGAUAUGCAUAUAAUUAGUAGAUUUGGAUAGAAAACACUUUAAAGUUUCCAAAACUGUUAAAAUAAUAUGCCUGCAAGUAUAACAGAACUGAUAUGGCAGGCGAAAACCUGAGAAAAAUCCAUCCAGGAAGUGGAAUUGUUUUCAUGUGGCUGUUUUUCAACUCAAUACCAAUAGAGAAUCCAAUGGGUUAGGAAAAAAAAAACUCAGGCUCAAACGCAGUCAAAACAGGCUGACAAAAAAAUCCAAAUUGUAUCCGUAAAGUUCAUAGAAACAUGUCAAACGAUGUUAAUUUUCAAUCCUCAGGUUGUUUUUAGCCUAAAUGAUCUAUAAUAUUUCAACCGGACAAUAACAUCGUCAAUUUAGGUAAACAAGAAAUGCACUCUCUCGGGAUUGCGCAUGAAAAAGUUCUGCGACAGGGUAGGGUCCACUCAUUCAGACUGGUGUUACUCCCACAUUUAUAAGAAUACAAGCCUGAAACGAUUUCUAAAGACGGUUGACAUCUAGUGGAAGGCAUAGGAACUGCAAAUGGAGUCCUAAAUCAAUGGAUACUGUAAUGGCAUUGAAUAGAAAACUACAAAAUCCCCCCCAAAACUACUUCCUGAAUGGAUUUUUCUCAUGUUUUCGCCUGCCAAAUCAGUUCUCUUUUACUAAGAGACACUAUUUUAACAGUUUUGGAAACUUUAGAGUGUUUUCUAUCCAAAUCUACCAGUUAUAUGCAUAUCAUAUCUUCUGGGCCCGAGUAGCAGGCUGUUUAAUUAUGGGCAUGCUUUUCAUCCAAAAUUCUGAAUGCUGCCCCCUACCCUGGAGAGGUUGAGAAAUGUACUGAAAACCCCAGUGUAAACCUUGUACACAAAAUGUUUGAAAUGUUUGAAACGUCUUUUAAUAUUGAUUAUGAAGUAGAGGGAAAGAAAGGGGAAAUAAACACUCACUUAAUAGGGUUGAAUGACCUCCGACCUCUAUUCUGACUUUCUGGUGAGGCCUAAUCACCCUCACUAGAAAGGCUAGAGACAUUGGGUGAGAUUUAAAUGUAAGAUGUAAACACUGAUAAUUAGUAAGAAGGUUAUAAAUUAAAUCAGAUGGGUCACAUACACAUGUUUUAUCAAUAGUCCUAUGUGUGAUUCAGACCAUGAGGAGGAGAGAGAGAGAGAGUGCUGCCCCUGAAUGAGGGAAACCUGUCUCCAGUCCAAAUUAUGGGAUACAAUUAUUUCCUUAUGGAGUUAUCAAGGCAUGUCAUUUGAUUGUAUUUGUUAUUCUGAUUUGUUUAUUUUUUACUUAAACGGCAGUGUUGUUGUUGUUGUUUUGGACGCAUAAAACACGAUGUGAGUCAUGUGUCAAAAGGGAAGAAGUGCAUUGUGGUUGUUGUUCUUGGUUGUUGUUUGAAUUGUGGUUUUUGUUUUGUUUGUUGUAUGAUGUUUUGUUUGUUUUAUUUUUGUCUUGCUUCAAAAAAAAAUCUCUCCAGAUUGGUUCUGCUGUAUGGUCGGGAUUUCUCCCUAAGGGUUAGCCCUCUACCAAACCUGACCCUGUAACUCUGCAGUGAGGUCGUCAAUGUUACAGGGGAGAAUAAGCCAAUUUGAUAAAAUGGUUUUAACAGUGUGUUGUUAUUCUAUUUGACAUUUGUCUUAGACAUUUCUAUUAAGAAUAUUGGCAGUGGUAAUAAUUUGUUAUUCAGUAAAUAGUUUGUCUGGUUUCAGGCUUUUAUUUUGAAAAACGAUGUGUUAAAAGCCAUUUUAACAAUUAAAACAAUUUUAACAAUAGUUAUCACAGUGUAAUACAUGGAAAGGAGGGAAAGUGAGGGAAAAUGUUGCAGUCUGAAGAGGUAGCAUUGAAUUGUACACAGCAUCUCCUCCCACUCUAUCUUGGUUCGUGCAGGUGACUGUGACCUCCUCCUCAGACCAAUUGACAGUACGCCCAGAACAUUGUUCUGGGUUCCAAAAGGAGUAUCUCAGUUUCAAGGUCCCAGAUUUGAGAGAAGAAACCUUGUUAGUUAUUAGUCAGUCAGUCACUUCCAGGAACCAACUUAGAUGAUGAAUAAUGAAUCAUGUAAAUCAUGCCUAUAUGAAUUGUUUGGGUAGCCGUAUAUUAGAGAACUAACGGGACUGUCCCGGCAGAGCUCCUGACCGAUGUGUACUAUGUUGCAUUAAGUUUGUUGGAACCUCUCCAGCUUUCUGAUAAUAAAGAAUUAAUCACUUAAGUUUGA